UAACGUAAUACCUACAAUGUUAAUGCACCCGAUCCCAUUAGAAAUUUUCAAUUAAGCAUACUUAGACUAGAUUAGUACUGGGAUGGGUGACCUCUUGGGAAGUUGAUUAAGAAAAACCUUAU
rnacentral:rRNA from 1 species